rnacentral:rRNA from 1 species
CGACGGAAAUUUAUUUAAACAAAUCANNNNAGUUUACUACGAGACNNNGUUUUUAUAAAUUUUAGUGGCGGACGGGUGAGUAAUACGUAGGCAACCUGCCUCAAAGAGGGAAAUAACUAGAAGAAAUUUUAGCUAAUGUCCCAUAAGACUACACUGUGGCAUCACAGAGCAGUCAAAGGAGUAAUCCGCUUUGAGAUGGGCCUACGGCUGAUUAGUUUGUUGGAGAGGUAAUGGCUCACCAAGACUAUGAUCAGUAGCCGGGCUGAGAGGCUGUACGGCCACAUUGGGACUGAGACACGGCCCAGACUCCUACGGGAGGCAGCAGUUGGGAAUAUUGGACAAUGGGGGAAACCCUGAUCCAGUGACGCCGCGUGAAGGAAGAAGGUCUUCGGAUUGUAAACUUAUUUUAUCAGGGAAGAAUAAAAUGACUGUACCUGAAGAAGGAGGACCGGCUAACUACGUGCCAGCAGCCGCGGUAAUACGUAGGGUCCAAGCGUUAUCCGGAUUUACUGGGUGUAAAGGGCGAGUAGACGGCGUGAUAAGUCAGAUGUGAAAUCUUAGGGCUCAACCUUAAGACUGCAUCUGAAACUGUCAUGCUAGAGUGCAGAAGAGGUAAGUGGAAUUCCUAGUGUAGCGGUGAAAUGCGUAGAUAUUAGGAGGAACACCAGUGGCGAAGGCGACUUACUGGGCUGUAACUGACGUUGAGGCGCGAAAGUGUGGGGAGCAAACAGGAUUAGAUACCCUGGUAGUCCACACCGUAAACGAUGGAUACUAGGUGUAGGUACAAACGUAUCUGUGCCG